rnacentral:rRNA from 1 species
UACGGAGGGUGCAAGCGUUAUCCGGAUUUACUGGGUUUAAAGGGUGCGCAGGCGGAUAUGUAAGUCAGUGGUGAAAUCUCCGGGCUUAACCCGGAAACUGCCGUUGAUACUAUAUAUCUUGAAUGCUGUGGAGGUAAGCAGAAUAUGUCAUGUAGCGGUGAAAUGCUUAGAUAUGACAUAGAAUACCGAUUGCGAAGGCAGCUUACUACGCAGAUAUUGACGCUCAUGCACGAAAGCGUGGGGAUCAAACAGG